rnacentral:rRNA from 1 species
CCUACGGGUGGCAGCAGUGGGGAAGGUUGCGCAAUGCUCGUAAGAGUGACGCAGCGACGCCGCGUGAAUGACGAAGGCCUUCGGGUCGUAAAGUUCUUUCGACAGGGAAGAAAAUGCCGAUAAGGAACUGUGUAUGGAUUGACGGUACCGGUAGAAGCAGCACCGGCUAACUCCGUGCCAGCAGCCGCGGUAAUACGGAGGGGGCGAGCGUUUUUCGGAGGGACUGGGCGUAAAGAGCACGUAGGCGGUGUUGUACGUCAUUAGUCAAAGACUAGAGCUCAACUUUAGUAAGGCUAGUGAUACUUUACUACUAGAGUAUCAGAGAGGCUUGCCGACUUCCUGGUGUAGCGGUGAAAUGCGUAGAUAUCAGGAGGAAUACCGUUCGCG